CAAACCCUAGAUUCUUGAAAACUCAAGAAAGGAGAAAACUGGGGUGUGUGGAUUUUGUCAGAAAGAGUGAUUGUUGAACCUUGGAAAUUCUGUUGCUACCAUUUUAGCGGGAUUUGAGGUAAUGUUGAAGAGCAAGUUCGUGAAACUCAUGCGGAGUAGGAGAGCUUGCUACUUUUUGGACUAUUUGGUGAGUCCACAUGCUUAUUCGUGGGGCACUAUUCUAUCUUAGUAUUGUUUAAUUUCCGGGCUAUGUCCCCAAGUUAUAUUAUGUUAUAUUUAUCAUCUUAGAGGCUCCAUAAAUAGACGUUAAUUCUGUAGGUAAUUGUCGAAGUCACUGCUUGACUCUUUG